rnacentral:rRNA from 1 species
GGAUCAAUAUGCUGGUCGUGCCUUUGGUACGUACUGGUAUUAUUGGUUUCUCCUUUCUGAUGAAUCACGAUAUCAUUAAUUUGGUGUCAUGGGGAAUCAGGACUGUUACUUUGAAAAAAUUAGAGUGUUUAAAGCAGGCUUACGCUUGAAUACAUUAGCAUGGAAUAAUGAAAUAGGACGUUUAAUUCUAUUUUGUUGGUUUCUAGGAUUGACGUA